AUUGAACGCUGGCGGCAGGCCUAACACAUGCAAGUCGAACGAGCGGCGGACGGGUGAGUAAUGUCUGGGAAUCUGCCCGAUGGCGGGGGAUAACUACUGGAAACGGUAGCUAAUACCGCAUACCAUCGGAUGAGCCCAUAUGGGAUUAGCUAGUUGGUGGGGUAAAGGCUCACCAAGGCGACGAUCCCUAGCUGGUCUGAGAGGAUGACCAGCCACACUGGAACUGAGACACGGUCCAGACUCCUACGUGAGGCAGCAGUGGGGAAGAUUCCACGAUGGGCGCAAGCCUGAUGCAGCCAUGCCGCGUGUGUGAAGAAGGCGUUCGGAUUGUAAAGUUCUGUCGGUAGGGAGGCGGUACCUACAGAGUAAGCACCGGCUAACUCCGUGCCAGCAGCCGCGGUAAUAC
rnacentral:rRNA from 1 species